GAUGAACGCUAGCGGCAGGCCUAAUACAUGCAAGUCGAGGGGCAGCACGGUAGCAAUACUGGUGGCGACCGGCGCACGGGUGCGUAACACGUAUGCAACCUGCCUUCAACAGGGAGAUAGCCCGGGGAAACUCGGAUUAAUAUCCCAUAACACAUUUGGUCAGCAUUGAUUGAUUGUUAAAGCUCCGGCGGUUGAAGAUG
rnacentral:rRNA from 1 species